rnacentral:rRNA from 1 species
UACGAAGGGGGCUAGCGUUGCUCGGAAUUACUGGGCGUAAAGCGCGCGUAGGCGGAUCGUUAAGUCGGGGGUGAAAUCCUGGAGCUCAACUCCUGAACUGCCUUUGAUACUGGCGAUCUUGAGUCCGGGAGAGGUGAGUGGAACUCCGAGUGUAGAGGUGAAAUUCGUAGAUAUUCGGAAGAACACCAGUGGCGAAGGCGGCUCACUGGCCCGGUACUGACGCUGAGGUGCGAAAGCGUGGGGAGCAAACAGG